rnacentral:rRNA from 1 species
GAGGGUGAGGCCUGCCCAAUGGUUGUAUCUAAAAGCGGUUGAUAAAAGUCGACCGUGUAAGGACAAUUGAAUGGCCGCGGUAACACUGACCGUGAUAAUGUAGCGUAAUCAAUAGCCAAUUAAUUGUUGGCCAGUAUGAAUGGCGCCACGAAGGCCCCACUGUCUUAAGGAAAUUCCCAGUGAAAUUGAAUUCGUAGUGAAGAUGCUACGUCCAAUUUGUUAGACGAAAAGACCCCGUUGAGCUUUACUGGGGCACUUACACGGCCCCGGCCUUCAAAACUGGGUUGAUAAGCCAAGGCUUACCAUACCUAGGGACCGGCCGAAUUUAAAUGGGCGGCUUAGACUAUGUGGCAGCCCCCCCCGUCGGGGCAGAUGAAACCCCACUCCCCCAUGUCAAAGGGGCUAACCCCCCCCCUUGGGGGGGACAGUGUAAGUAGGACAGUUUGGUUGGGGCGACCGCCUUUUAGAGAGUAACGAAGGUGCGCUUAAGGUGCGUAAUUAAUGACUGAAGCCUGACUGCGAGGGGGACACCCCGAGCAGACACCCCCAAGCCCGCCCUCGCCUUCGUACCACCGGAGGGAGGGCGGCGGUGGGGUGG